rnacentral:lncRNA from 1 species
CUCACAUUACUGGAGUAGGGAUAUAGUCACUCACAUUACUGGGGUAGGGAGAUAGUCACUCACAUUACUGGGGAAGGGAUAUGGUCACUCACAUUACUGGGGUAGGGAUAUAGUCACUCACAUUACUGGGGAAGGGAUAUAGUCACUCACAUUACUGGAGUAGGGAUAUGGUCACUCACAUUACUGGAGUAGGGAUAUGGUCACUCACAUUACUGGGGUAGGGAGAUAGUCACUCACAUUGCUACUGAUUAAAAGCCCACAGCCUAACAGACUUGAGAGAAGCAAGUAACUAAACUCAUUUCAUUCCUGUAAGAGUAGAUGCUACUACUCAAAUUAUUGCACAGUUAUCUUGGCAAUACCGGGGAGAAGAGACACUCUGCUCUUCCACAGAAUAUGGAUGGUCGUGGAUGGGAUUUGAGGUGAACGAACUGGUAAGGACGGCACAAGAGGCUCCAGAAUGUGUCAGUGUGCACAGGUCUAACUCAGCUUCCCUCCAAUGGGAAGGAGAUAAAUGAAAGAUAUCUUGAUGGGAGGUGAACAUGAUCAAAAUAUACUGUGUACAUGUAUGCAAUUAUAAAAACAAUAACAUAUUUGGGCCAGGAGAGGUGGCUUGGUGGUUAAGAGCACAUAUAGUUCUUGCAGGGGGCCUGAGUUCAGUUCCUAGCACCCAGAUCACAACUGCCUGUAACUCCAACUCGGGGGAUCUGACAUCUCUGGCCUCUGAAGGCACUUGUACUCAAUGUGUGUUAUGGUGGAAACUUCACCCCAUGGGAAGGGUGAUAACUGCCAGAAUGAAGGGAAUGGAGAAGUGUCCUGAUAGUAAAGAAAAAGCAAGGGUGAAUGAGUGAGACAGGGUGGCCUUCCAGCCCCCUACCCACAGAGGAGAUGGGAAAGAGAGACCGGGAAAUCACAUGCCUGUUUUAUGGGGGACAGUUUAAAUACCCUGUGGGAGUGGUCUUGAGGAUUUCUGGGGGAGGCAUCAUCAUUUGGCGGGCUUUCUGAGAUGCAGCAGGGUUUGGAGGGAGAUAGGGGAUGAGGGCUUGGGUGGAACUUCCACCAUAACAUUCCAGACUCUUUGGAUAUAUGGAUGCCCGGGGCCGGGGUGAAGCUUCCACCCAUAACAAUGUGUAUAACCCCUCUUCCCAAACAUAUAAUUUAAAAAUAUAAAAAAACCCAUUGUAGACAUGAAACUAUAAUGAAAACAAGCCAUAUUGUAUAAAUGUAUCCAAUUGUAAAACAGAUAAUUUGGAGGGGUUGCUAUAUGAUGGCCUGCAGUGUUGCAACACCGUAUCCAACACUGAGGUUAGGGAAAAUCAGAGAAACUGAGUCACAGAGAAGUUCCUUGCAAGGGCUGCUCAUCAGCUGUGGACCUUGCAGUUCGGACACUGGCGCUAAAUGAGAGAUCACUUCUACCUAUGUUCUGGAGGACAGCACACAUAAAUACUGAGGAAACACAAGGGAAACAUAAAGGAAAAGCAGAAAGUUUGCCUGCCUGUGUUGUGGUAACUCCCUAGGAAGGCAAGGCUGGCAUCUAACUCAUCUCUUCAGAACCAGCACCUGACACCAGGUGACCCCUGGAAGGUGUGGAGAGGAGUGACUAGUGGUAAGGUUAUGGGAGUCAGAGACUGGGGGGAUGGGUUUAGUAGGGGAGACAGCACUGGGAUUCCAGCCUGUGAAAGGAAGUUCCUCAAUCUCUUACUCAUGAACUGGCUUAUGACCUAAGGUCUGGGUUCCUGUCCUGGACUUGCUUGCAAUGAGUGAGGCCUGAGACAUCCAGGAAGCCACAGUUCAUAGAACACUUACAUUCUCUGUGAAUGCCAGGCAGUGAUAAGAAGGUUGGUUGUGGUGGUGAGGAUGAGGAUGAGGAUGAGGAGGCGGGUUAGGGUUAGGCCAGGAGAGAUUCUUGGAAGAGAUAGCCAGGAGAUGCAGUAACUGCAAAGCAGGCAAGAAUGGGGCAGAAGGCUGAUGCCCCUAGUUGGGCUUACAGUACAUUGAUGCAUCCCAGAAGCAUGGGAGAAAGCUGCUCUGAGUGCCCAGAACAAGAUCUGGAGGGAAAAGGAAAAAGAAUAGUUCUUCUCAUACCCAGGGCUAUCUCACAGCCCAACUCCUCUGCUGUGGGGCUUCAAAGUCUGCCAUGUGGAUGACACUCACACCCCCUCCUUCCUACUCCAGUGUGGAGGAGGGACCAGCUCCCAGUGGGAGGAGCAAGGGAGCUGCCUGCCUGUCUGGUCCCUCAUCUCAGCCAGACUGGGUAUCUUCCUCUUAAUUGCAGUCUUUUUCCUCAACAGACAUCGCUUUCUCAUCAGAGUCCCUUAAACCUCCCUUGGGGCUCCCAGCCAUCUUCCUCCUCCACUGGCCCAUAGCAGCUCUCAUGGUCUCCCCUGAGAUGGCCCACAGUGAUAAAACCCUGGUAAGAGAGUCAGGAGUGAAGGGGCCAACUUUCUUCAUCUUGGGCUUUCUUUCUCCUGGUUCCUAUAAUGCCCAAAACAAAUUUCUCUCAGUGUCCCUCCCCAGGAACCCAGCUGCUCCACCCCUCCCCACCUUCAGGACUUGGGCUCUGGGUGGGGAGGCAUAGCUCAGCCUGUGGGAUUUCCCCAGUCCGCAGUAGCAGGAAGUCUGAGUUGGAGAGGGAAAGCCUGACUCUUGGCGGCUGUCCAGUCACUAAGCAAGACCAAAGUUCAGGGGAGAGGCCUGUUUCCCUGGUCAGCUGGGGAUACACACUGACCUCUGCUCAUCUGGAUUUGGGGACUUGGGUGUCUGAGGUUGAAGGGCAAGACCAAGUUAAGGGGAAGGAAGUAGAGGAACUUGAGGCUGGAGAGAAACAGGAGACUGAGCCCUUCCCGCCUCUCUGGGUCUUGCUUUUGCUGUCCCUGAUCCCUGUCCAUGCCGUCAUGUAGGCUGGUGACUUCUGGGGUAGGUGGUUUUCUCGGGCUGGACACCUGUGUCAGGUGAGACCUGGGGCUGAUGAGGAUGCAGGAGCACCCCACCCUCCAUGCUUACAGAAACCCCAGUAGUGGUCCCUGAGAAGUAGGUUUGUGGACACAAUCCCCAUGCAGUUCAAUUAUCAGGCAGUGAGGAGGGCAUCUUGAAACUGGCUUUUUCUGGUGUCUUAUCUCCACUUUGGUGAGGCUGCAUUAGAAGAAAUGGUUCUUUUAACAGGGUGGUAGAGAAGAACCUCUUCUUCCAGGAAAGGCCUCAUUGUCAAUACUGACUCUUAUUUAAUCUCUCAGUCUCCUCUGUUCUUACCCACGACUCCCUUAGUUCUCUGGCUCCAAAUGAGCCCCUGGGGACCUUCAGCAGCAAACACAACAGGGGAAGAGCAACAGCCAGUGAUAGCCCUUGGGAAAGAUGGAGCAGAAAACACUGGUGACAGUGCACAUUCCCUGUCCCAUCAGCCAGGCAUGCCGCUUACACCCUCUAGGCCUCCUACUCGCUAAAUCUCUUUUUAGAGGCUAGGCUUUCCCAUUACCUAUUCCAGAGCAAAGGUAAGAAUGGUGCAAAGGGGGAGGGUGAGUAUGAGGGAGAGCCUGAGUGGGUCAGCAGGUAUUAAACUCUAGAAAAAAAAAAAAAAGGGUGACAGAAAGUGGCUAUUGGUGUGCUUUAAAAGGAAAACAUACAUCUGGGUGGCGGUGGCACACGCCUUUAAUCCCAGUACUUGGGAGGCAGAGGCAGGGGGAUCUCUAUGAGUUCAAGGCCAGUCUGGUCUAUAUGGGCUAGUUCCAGGACAGCUAGGCUACACAAAAGAAACCCCCCAAAAUCAUAUCCCUGAGCCACUAUCGCCCCCUGGUGGUGUGUUCCUCAUGCUGGGUUCCUGGCCUUGUGAUUGGACAACCCUUCCCCGGAGUGUGGACAGAGGUGGACAGAGGUGGAGAUAUCCAGUGAUAUGUGUAGGUAACUUACAAACAGAAGAUGUGGCCAGAGAAUGCUCUAGCUUACUAGAAAUCAUUGAAGUGAUUGAACAGUGAGAUAUGCUGUUGCCUCUGUUACGUAAGAAGGACCCUAAAAGGGCUCUUAAGUGCCCGAAACCUGGGAAUAUACCUAGGAAUAAUCCUAAGGAAGAAGAUUAAAAUCUCAGAAACACACCCUGCUUAUCCACAGUCUAUUUUAAAGGCCUUUUGGAUUUCGAAAAGUAGCAUGGCACGAAACUAAGGGAGCAGCUUAGUUUCAUGAAGGCAAGUAGUUAAUCUACCAGACACACAGUCGGGACACAGACCACUGCCACAGCCAGGGCUAUGCAUCCCUUGUAAACCUCAUCCCAUAACCACUUUUUAAAAUAGAGUUUAAUCCCUUCAGAAUGCAACCAUAAACAUGACACCUGAGCUUGUCUGAGGUGGGGGUCUUCACAUGGGCAAUUACUUUUGUGUCCCUUUCUCCCUUCACUCAGUGGCACAGGAGUUUGUCCCCUGUAACAGGCCUGGCAGAAAUGAAGAUAGUCUAUAGUGAUACUUGUGUCUCUCAGUCUGACUGUUCUAUCAGAGGACUGAAACAAUGGACUCCAAAGAAAUGGGAGUUCCCUAGGUAUCUCAUGCUGGGAAAAGUAAAAGCCUCCAGUCGUUGGGAAACUUUUCUCUCAGAAAAGAGAUCUCACACAGUUCUAACGAACUUGUCAAGCCAUCUUACAGGAUGAGACUGAAGGCUGGACAGUCAUGGGUCAGUGAUGGACAGGACCACACCUUUACCAGAACCGCAUUGCUGUUCAUAUACUUGGCCUUCUAUUUAAAAUUUAGUUCUAUUUCAGGACCUUGAAGAUAGACUUGAGAGGGUUCCCUGGAUCUCUUCGUCCCUCUUUCCAAUGUGACCACAUCGAAUAAAUCUCCCUUUUCUGUUAUUUUAAUUGACUUAUUGAGGAAGGGUGGCUGGACCUGUUCUGGGCAUGAGCUGUGACCCUCAAGUUUGAUAGCACCAUCUGUCUUGUCCUGUUGCUGGAGAUCAGGUAGCCAGGGGGCUAGCUAGUGGCUGUGGCCACAUGUGUUACAUACCCAGUGGGUCACAGGCACUAACACUGGGCUCCUUCCUUCCUCUGUCUCAUGGACACUGGGCAGCUCCCUCAGGAUCCUCUCUCCUCCAUGCAGCAUCUGUCAACUCUCUUCCUGUUCCCAAGCACCCCCAUCACCAGCCUGCAGUCCCCCUUCCUAUCCUUGGGACCGCAAAGACAGAGCCCAGUCUUAGUAUAUUAUUCUCUCUCCUGUCCACACACUUUGUCCUGCAGGCCAUGAGGUCUACCUAGGACUUCCUUCCCUGAACAAGAACAAGGCAACCAUGCUGACCCCACUCUGUCACCCCUCAUUUCUUACUGAGGCCCCAUUGCAAGGUAUUAGUGCCUCAUCUUCUUUCCCUCAAUUCUUUCUCCAUCCUCCCUGUGGAUCUCAUGGAGUUUGAAGGAAUAGUCCAAUCUUUUCUUUCUUUUUUUUUUCUUUUUUCUUUUUGGUUUUUCGAGACAGGGUUUCUCUGUAGCUUUGGAGUCUAUCCUGGAACUCACUCUGGAGACCAGGCUGGUCUCGAACUCACAGAGAUCUGCCUGCCUCUGCCUCCCGAGUGCUGGGAUUAAAGGCGUGCACCACCAAUGCCCGGCUUAGUCCAGUCUUUUCUAAUUCUGUACUCUGUUUUUUUUUUAUUAUUAUUUGUAUGGUUGUGAGCCUUAUCCUUUAAUGGCUGAGCCAUCUCUCCAGCCCUGUACUCUGUUUUUUAAAGUAAAUUUAUUCUUUGACAGUUUCAUACAUGUUUAUAAUUUUGCCAUCUGAUUAUUCUAAUCCCCCAUGCUCUCUUACAUUCCUUCCUGUUGUGGAAUAUUAGUUUAAGAUGUGCCACAUCCAUUUAUGCUGUGAAAUAUUUGUUUAACAUUGCAAAGAUGUGUUCCAUCCUUUUCUGUUGGAUGUGUUUAACUCUAAAGCUGUGUUACUUUUCCUGUCUAAAGCACCUGAUUGGUCUAAUAAAGAGCUGAACAGCCAAUAGCUAGGCAGGAGAGGAAUCUGCAGGGCUGAUAGGCAGAGAGAAUUAAUAAUAGGAGAAAUGUGAUCUUGAGAAAAGAUCAGGAGAAGAGGGAAGAGUGAGAAAAGGAGAAGGAGAGGAGUAUGCCAGGGGCCAGCCACCCAACCACACAAAGAGCCAAGGAGUAAGAAAGUAAGAAAGACAUACAGAAUCAAGAAAAGCAAAAAGCCCAGAGGCAAAAUGUAGAAGAAGAGAAAUGGGUUAAUUAGUUAAGUUAGAAAAGCUAGCUAGAAACAAGUCAAGCUAAGGCCAGGCAUUCAUAAAAAUACAUCUCUGUAUUUAUUUGGGAGCUGGGUGGUGGGCCCCCAAAGAGUAAAGAGUAAAAAAACCAACUAUACCUUCUACUCUGUCAACUUCCCCUUCCUGCCAAUAAUUUCCCCUCCCACUUUCAUGUCUUUUUGUUGUUUUGUGACCCACUGAAUUUAAUGAAGGCUGCCCCCAUGAACAUGGAUGGAGCUAAUGCUGGAGCAUGGCUACUACAAACUACAAUGACUCUCUCUCCCUGCAGCAGCCUUCACCAGCCAGUGAAGGGGGAGGGGCGAGGCUCCAUGAGUCCCCAGAUAUUACCAGGUGUUGCACAGUCCCAGUGCAGGCAGUCUCAGCUGCUGUGCAUUUGUGAUUGCGGCAGCCAUGUCGGGUCCAGUAGAUAGUUUUUCACAGACUUCCUUCUCCUCUCCUGGAUCUUAUAUUCUUUCCGCAUCCUCCUUUGCUAUGUUUCCUGAGCAUUGGACAGGAUGAUAUUUAUGUCCUAUUCAGGGAUGAGCACUCAAUAGUCACUAAUUCUUAGCACCUUAAGCCAUGAAUUUUUGUUGUUCAUUGCUAAAAGAAGCUUAUCUAGUCAAGGCCGAGAGAAGCACAGUCUAUGGGUAUGAACAUAAAUAGGAGACUGUUUUAAUAUGUCUAUUUAGCAAAACAAAAGUAGGUUCACUCAAGGCUUAAGACCUCUGUAGCUGUGAGUCUUUGACCAGGAACACAGUACCAGAAAUGAAUUCCUUGUAGAAUGGGUCUGAGAUACAACCAGAAAGUGGUUGGUUACUAUCACAAUAGUUAUGCCACUAUUGUACUAAUAGGCAGGUCUUACCUGAAAGGUUGGUAUUGUAAGAUGCAGGGUCCACUGAUGGGUAAAACUUUGUUUGUUUGUUUGAUUUUUUUUUUGUUUUUGUUUUUCAAGACAGUGUUUCUCUGUGUCCUCGAACUCACAGAGAUCCGCCUGCCUCUGCCUCCCAAGUGCUGGGAUUAAAGGCAUGACCCACCACCACCCAGCAGGUAAGACUGUUAUACUUUGUUCUUUGAUAAUUUAUCUUUGUGUAACCAGUGCUGAGUCUUGCACCAUUUUCAAAGUGUAUCUUUUUUGUGAUUGUCAUCUUGGUGUGUAAGGUCACAAGAGUUCCUGAAUUUUUUUUUUUGUGUGUGUGUGUACUUAGGGCCAGGAUUUAGUGGGGAUACUUCCCAGGAAAUGUUGGCAAGGGGAAGAAAGAUUGUGACACCUGCUCUCCUUGUCAACCUGUGGAGAGGCAAGGCUGGGUCUGGGUGAUUUGCUAUCUCCAGGAGAGAGGGUCUACUCCCACAUUUUGUCCUUUCCUGUAGGACAAGCCUGGACAUUGAGAUCAGCAGAUCACUGCUCCAUAUGUCCAAAUUGGGUGUCAGCAAUUUUAUAAGAUGGGAAAGCAGUUGUCUAGGUCUAGGCUUGGGGGACAUGGGGGCCUGAAGGGAAUUUGUAGUUCUCUGGCUUAGAGAAAUAGAACUAAUGAAAUUGUGGAAAGUCAUGGAUGUAGACUGUCCCAGGAGAUCAAACCCCCAAUAUUUGUUGGGGUGUGUUUAGGGAACACAAGGCCAAGUUCCAGGGUUAUUUCUGUCCUGCUAUUUUUGUUCCUGGCCAUGCUCACUGUGGUGCUUUGGAUGAAAAUGCAGCGCCCUCACCAUAGGCUCAUAUAUUUGCAUGCUUAGUCCCUAGUUGAUGAAUUGUUUGGAAAGAACUAGGAGGUGAGUUCUUGUUGGAGAAGGUGUGUCUCUGGGAGUGCAAAAGCCCUGAGCCCCCGCCCCGCCCCCCUGCCUAUGGAUAAGGAUGUAAAGUUGUCAGCUGUUGCUCCAGCUCCAUGCCUGUCUGUUUCCUGCCAUGAUGAUCAUGUACUAACCCUCUAAAACUGUAAGCGAGCCUCAAACUAAAGCUUUCUUUUUAUAAGAGUUGCCUUGGUCAUGGUGUCUCUCCACAGCAAUAGAACAGUGACUAAGACAUUCACCAAGUCAGGAGAUGAGUCCAUGGGCUCAGAUUUGACAGACACACCAGGACAUGUGAGCCACAGUCACUGUCAGUUCCCACUUGGCAUCUGGUUUCUCUCUGCAUGUUAGGCAAGAGUCAGAGGAGGGCCCGUGAAGGAUGGGAGGCAUCCCCUCCAAGGCUCAGACUGAGCAGAAGUCAGGACUGGAGUUGGAGGUCUGUGGGACCUUAGUGUCUGGGAGGCCAGGCUGCAGAGGCCCAAGCAGACAGGAGCGUCUGUGAAGAGACCGGUGUGGAAUCUUCCUGGGAAAGAGCUGCUGAGAGCUCCCGCAGGUGAAGUCCACCUUGUGGGAAUCCCUCUUGGGAGCCUGGUCUGUAAGGACACCUGUCUUCAUUCUACAGCUUUUUAGGGGGAGUUGUUUUGCUUUUUCUGCUGAGUUUUAAGACUUUAUUGCCUUGGGCAGUCCCCCAGCCCUUAGGAGCUCUUGUCCCACACAAAUGAGGCCAGCUCCUUCAGUCUCUGGCUACCUGGCCAAUCAGGAACAGAGAUCUGUCCUCAAGGCUACAUUUAUGAUCUUCCCCCACAGUAUGGACUGCACCUGUCCUUUGUAGUCACCUGCUACCCUCCAGGAUACUUCCCUGUGUCAUUUCAGAAUCACAUGGUCUGGCCUUCUCAGUCUCCCUGUGAGUAAUGCCUCCAGGGGCCAAUGCACUGGAGCUCACAGCCUCCUGGAAUGGCCUUCUGCUUCACCUCCCACUAGCAUCUUAAACAGUGAUCUUGCUUCUGUCCUUGUGCCCAGAGAGGCUGGCACAAGUGGACACUUACUAUAGGCUUGUCCAGUGGUGACCCAAGAAGAUGGACGAUGUCUUCUCAUUGAAUCACUAUUGGUAAUUUGGUUAUCAGUCACCAGAUGGUGAAUGUGCCCAGGUCCUGGAAGUAGAGCUGCCGGCAGGCUGUGGCAAAGCUUGGCAUGGCUGCCUUGGCUUCAAAGGGGGGAAUAAUGUCUCCCUGUCUGUUUCAGAAUGAUCUCAGGGAAGACAAGGCUAAGACUGGUCAGAUCCUGAGAAGCUAGGAAAGGGAGGCACACCUCAGAACAGUUAGCCAUAAUCUCUUCUGUUAUUGGAGGUAGCGGUGGUCCAUGGCUUUCUCCAUACCUUCUCAGGGAACUUCUUCCUGUCUCAGGCAAACUCCCAGUACUUUUAAAGAGUUCUGGCUUCUUUCCAACAGCACUUCCCUUUGUACAGGCCUUUCUAACACUUGUACCACAGUCACUAAGCCAGGGCAUGCCCUUCUGGUGUUCAACAUUGAAGGGGACCUGUGUUUGGGGGAGGAUCUGAGUCUGCUCUCAGUCAUGGAGUAGUGGGAAGCUCUUAGUAGCUGUGGUCAGUACUGUGCAUUUUCAGUUGAGAUACUUCAAAUGGGCCUCCUCUCCAAGUUUACUUUUUCUCUUCCUCUGAGGCUGUCACAGACCUGCCUCAGCUUCACAGAUUUUCUAGUCUAUCCACUCUCUCAUACAAGAUGAGGCAUCUCACCACAAGGAAAGCUUCCUUUCAAAUUUCUCACACAACUAUGCGUUUCAUAAGCAAUAGUAUUAAUGGAAUGGUGUUAAGGUCAAAACACGGGACCUGGAACAAGCCAAGAUAGGUCACAUGUCCUCAACAGGCUAAUUAAAGAGACAAAGUAUUCCUGGAAUACCAGGACUCUGAAGCUGGAUGGGCCCAGAGUCCUAGAAUAGAACCCAAUACGACUGGAGAAAAAAAAGUCAAUGUAAUGAUGCCUAACAUAUUCUGCUAUACUCAUAGAUUGGUGCCUAGCCCAAUAGUCAUUAGAGAGGCUUCAUCCAGUAACCGAUGGAAACAGAUGCAGAGACCCACAGUCAAACAUUAGGCCAAGCUCCGGGAAUCCUACCUCUUCAAUAAGGAGGAAGGAUUGUAGGAACCAGAGUGGUCAAGGACUUCACAAGAAAACCCACAGAAUCAAAUAACCUGGGCACAUAGGAGCUCAUAGAUGCUGAACUGACAACCAGGAAUACUGCAUGGGACUGACCUAGGCCCUCUGCAUAUGUGUGACAGUUGUGUAACUGGGUCUUCUUGUGGGACUCCUAACAAUGGGAACAGGGGUUGUCUUUGACUCUUUUGCCGGCUUGGAACAUACUCUUCAUACUGAAUUGCCUUGCCCAGCCUAAUUCAAGGCGAGGUGUUUAGUUGUACUACAACUUUGUAUGCCAUGUUUUGUCUAUAUCCAUGGGAGGCCUAUCCUUUCCUGAACAGAAAUGGAGGAGUGGAUGAGGGGAGUGCAGAGAGGAGGUAGGGAAACUGUGAUCAGGAUGUAAAAUUUAAAAAAAAAAAGAUUAUUUACUUGAAAUUUAAAAUCUGAAAUGUGAUAUUUAAUAAUAAAAUUUUACUUAUAUUACUUAUUAGAAAUAAAAUGCCUGCCUUCCCAAGGGUGGGGUAAAAGAGACAAAGUAAUAGUGAAAAGCAGAAAAAUAGAGGUUUGCUUACUGUGGUUACACUAGGAAGAGAAGCAAAGAGCUCAAGUGGCUUUCUAAGUCCAUAUUUGGGGUCCUAACACGAGGCUUAGGUUAGGUAGAAGGCAAUAGGCACACAUAGCUCAGUAGUGAAGGUGUGGUCCAACUUGUCAUCUUUAUCCCAGCUCCAGUCCUCUGAGAAGUUAUCUGACAAGCUGUCAGAACUGUGGGGAAUCUCUUUUCUGGGAGGCUGAUUGAUCAUUUGGGUGUCUUUGUUUCAGUAGGCAAAGGGAGGGGGCACAAGGUGUCUUUAGAAUGUCUUAAUUCCCGUUGGAAAGGUUAUAAUAGGGGCUUGGUAAUCCCUAUAAUAGAUAUUUAGGACUGGGAAGUUGUUCUGCUUGAUAAUCUAUCCAUACUGGUAGGUCCCUGCCACCAUGCCCUCCCUAUAGAUGAGUCAGAGCCCUUUAAGACCCUGGUGGAGAUAGCAAGCUCUAAACACAGAAAAAGGACAUAUUGGACUAAUGUGUUCACAUAUUAAUAGUGGGUCCUCAGAAACUGCUUUGCAUUUGGACCCUCAAGGUAACUAAAGGCAAGAUGAAAGUCUGGCUUGCAGCUUACAUCUGUUUCCUUUGCUUUGGGUCACUGUCACCUCUGCACACAGACAUGAUAAUCAGUUAAGGGGGAUCUGUCCGAGAGUUGGGAAUACUUACCUCCUCUUUUUCAAGGUUCAGACCACAAAGGUAAGAGGAAGGCACUUAUGGCCUGCUCUUCACUACAUUCUUUUGUGAAUAUCCAGAGGCAUCUAAAAGUCUCCAGGUACUGGCCUAAACAGUCGUGGAUUCUGGGAACAGCAGAGCUUCACAGUGCAGACAAGCCCUUGGGUGAGGCCAAUUAUCUAUGAUGGCGAGGCUGUUCUGGUCCUCCUGAGAACCAGAUGUUCUCUCAAGCAACAGAGCCUUCCUAGGAACACCUUGCAGAACAAGACCUGAGACAGUGAUGGACCAGACUGCACCUUGACUGGCUCUGCUGAGUUCUUCACGCCUAGCCUCUUCCUGGUUCUUUUUUAAGGUAAACAGACAUAGGGUCACCUGACCCCUGUGUCCAUUCCUUUCUCCAUUGCACACACUGAUUAAAUCUUGCUCUCUACUCUUUAUCACUACUUAGUUCUUUAAUUGGUAUAUGACGUUGGGUGGCCAAACCUAAUUCUUUGGGACUAGGACUCCGGGAACUGGGUCUUUUGCCCGGAAACUCUAUUUACAUUUUUAACAUACAGGAUAGACAGCUAAUUUCCAUAAUAUAUCAAGAGCUUUUAUUAUAAAGAAAAAACAACAGUGAAUAGAAGAGUGGAGAAAGACAAUGAAGUGUCAGAAGAAGUAGAAAUGACCAUUCAGCAAGUAAUAGUUUGAAAAUUUGCUAAUUGGUAUAAAUUGCCCCCCCCCCCAUAUUCAGAUAAUAAAACAUGCUCUCCAGUGUGGAGGCCAUUGGAAGCGCAUCCUAUGGGGUGUAAAAUCACAUUUGAGUGGAGGGCUCAUGAGUGGGAUUAGUGGCUAUGAUGUUUUGUAUUGGUAUCAACUUGACAGGGUCUAAAAUCACCUUAGAGACAGAUCUCUGGUCAUGUCUGGGAGGGUAUUUUCAAGUUCAGUUCAUUGAGGUGUAGAUGGCACCAUUUCGUGGGGUGGAGUCCUUGACUGUCACAAGGAAAGUAGUAAACUUAGGAAUUGUUCACAGGAAGCCAGGAAAGCUCCAUCUUCAGAUGUGUAAGGGCAGAGUGAGGGGGCUGUUGGGGAAACAGAAUCUGUGCAUUCCAGCUUCUGAUGCUUUGAUGAUUUCCCAGAGUGUGAGAAAGCAGUCUGUUGCCCAGAAUUCCUAACCUGCAUAGGCUAUCCUGUUAUCACUUGUGAAUCGGAGAUGAGUCGGGGAGAUAGGUUGGUCCAGGAAAGGAGCUGACACAAAUGAGUUUGGUUAGAAGGGAAAGCCUGAUCCCAUCAGGAAGUGGGGGAGCAUUAGGAGAAUUACAGGAUCAUCUCAGAGACAGUGUAAAGGGGCCGGCCGGCUGUCUCCACCUCUGCACUGUUCUUAGCACUAUUGUCUUCCAGGCACCUACUAGAAUGACCAGCUAAGUUGUUUAGAGCAGUCAACCACUUUUCUAGUCCAAACUUCCUAAGCCUUCCACAUUCCUCCAAAAAACAUGGUCAAGUUCUCCACAGCAGUACCCCCUCUUUUGUAUUGAUGACUUCUGUGUUAGAUGUUUUUCUGUUGCUGUAAUAAAAACAUCAUGACCAGAAGUAACUUAGGGAAGAAAGUGUUGAUUUUGGCUUCUGGCUCCUAAGGAAGAGUCCGUAAUGGAGCAGGAGGCAGAGGCAGUCGGUAUCUGGAACAGCAAUCUGAGGCGAUCAAAUCCUCAACCUCAUACAGAAAACUGAGAGUGAGCUACAAGUGGGGAAGGCUACACCCUCAAAGCCUUUCUCCAGGGAUGUGCUUUCUCCAGCAAGGCUCUUCAUCUGAAAGGUUCCAUAACCUCCCCUAACAGUACUGGUAACUGGGGACCAACAGUUCAAUUCCACUAGCCUGUGGGAGACAUUCUCACUCAAACUGGGUGGCUUCUGCCCUGAGUCACACAGAGUUGCUGAAUGUGAGUCCCCUCUGAUUUCUGGAAGUCUCACAAAAACCUGACUGGCUUUGAGGCUUGUGAGGACUGUGGAUUUACUUUUUUUUUUUUUUUUUUAAACCAGGGAAGCUUCCUUUACAUUCGGAGGAGUCUGUUUACUCUUUCCCUGCCAGAGAGCCAUGCUGCUGGGUCUGUGGUUAGGUUGGCCAGUUUCCAUGGGGUACCUGUCUUUUCCUUCAUACUUUUCAGGCUGCCAGCCGAAGGUGUGGCCCAGAUUCAAGGUGGAUCGUCCCACCUCAAGAGAUCUGGAUUAAAGCCUUCAUCCAGCAGCUGGUGGAAAUAGAAGCAGACACCCACAACUAACCACUGAACUGAACUGGAAUCCAGAUGCAGAGAAGGACGAGUAAAGAGCAAAGGGGUCCAGAUCAGGCCGGUGAAACCCACAGAAACAGCUGACCUGAACAUCGGGGAACUGUUGCUCCCCAGACUGGGAUACUAGCAUUGGACUGAUCCAGACCCCAGGAACAUGGGUUUCAGUGAGAAAACCUCGGAAAUCUACGGGACCUCCUGUAGUAGUUCAGUACUUAUCCCUAGCAUAGGUGUGGACUUUGGGAGCCCAUUCCACAUAGAGGAAUACACCCUGAGCCAAGACACACGGGGGUGGGCCUAGGCCCUAUCCCAAAGGAUAUGAUUGACUCUGAUGACACCCUAUGAAAGGCCUCACCUCCAGGGGGAUCAGAAAGGAUAUGUGAUAAGGGAGGGUUUUAGUUGGGGGGGGUGGUAAGGCAGGAGGGAGGGAGAAGGGAACUGGGAUUUUCAUGUAAGACAAUCUUGUUUCUAAUUCAAAUAAAAAAAUCUGCAAAAAAAAAUAGGUAUUCUGCAUGGGUGGACAAUGCUUCUUUUGAGAGACAUAACGGGAAAUCUCAGUGACAAGAACAGGAUACCUCUCUGUGAGUUAUUGGGGUCAGGAAAGCUGAAGAGACACCCUAAAUUAUAAGAUCACUAGAUGUAAGAUUUUAUUACUGAAGACAUACCACACUUCAGUUGCAAGAUGGAGAAAUCAAGCCAUAAAUGAGGUGAAAAAUUUCUCCCUGAUGGUAGCUUUUAUAGGGUUAGAAGAUGCUAUGUAAGACACUGGGGGAGAAAGGCAAUCAAUGGUAUUACCCAGGAGUGAAUCCUUAAUGCUACAAUAUUGACAUGGCAGGUGAGAUGUGCCCACUGAAGUAAGAGUGGCAUGCAUGUUAUAGGGGUAACCAAAAGCUUUCUGGUUUGACUUGAGGACUGCUCCAAAGAAGGUGACUCAUGCCUAAGACUGCAAACAUGGUCCAAAGCUCAUGACUUUGGAAGUCAUAGGCCCUCGUGGGGAACUUACUAUUAUUAUUUUGCUAAAUGAAU